CGUGUGGGCGGCGAUCCAGCAGGAGGAGGAGCAGAUCCACAGGCCGAAGGAGAUGCAGACGCGGUGGCGGGCGAAGCAGCGGUCCAGGAGUCGCUGGUGUUGCUGCUGAAAGGUCACAGGGUCUCUUCCAGGAGGAGGAUGACAGUACAGAAGUUUACCCUACAAAGACAACAAGAAAAGUAACAGCACAUGACAGGUGCCUUGUGUGUUAUCCCAGAAGAAAAAGUCCUCUGAGAAGCUGUCUCCGCCAGGCACCCUCUGGCAAGCUUCCUGCUUUUUGAUGCAGAGAGCUGAGCAGAGUUCUGUCACCUAUAACCACAGCCCUAACAAACACACGACAGUGCUCCUUCUUACCUUGUCUGCAUUUUCUACAGAAGUGUUCUUCAGUACACUGACAUGAGUAGACUUAGGGUAAAUAUUUUCCAAAAAAAAAAACCAGGACACAACUGCAAAGUGGGACGAUACUAAUGGGGACACUGGGCUGGCCGUGGUUGCUCACUGGGCGCAGAUUUUCCACUUCCCACUGUAAGCACUCUAUAAACUGUGGUUGGUUUUAACUCAUCUUCCAUGGUUUUAUAAAUGGUGAAUCAAUACAUAAUUUAUCCAUA